AUGGCCCAUUACAAGGGGACAAAACCGUCGGGGUGCGGGGUGGAAGAGGGCACAUGGCUCAACCACCGUGGGUCGUCGUCAACCGCUUCCGGCAUAUUCUGCCGUAUAUAUGUCUCUGCUCUACACUCUUACCUCAAGCAGAUCUGGAUAGCAGCGUCGUUUCAGUGGCUUGAGCAGAGCCUGCCGCCAUACGUCUCUCCGUCUCACACCGCAACGCUAACAGGAAUUGUCAGUGUAAUCGUGCUUGCAUCAUUUUCUGUUAUAGAGAGGAUGCCCAUAGAGAAUAUGCCCAAAGAAGCAAACGAAGUGGAUUCACCACAGUCUCAACAUCAAGAGAUCACCGUCGAGCAUGGUUCACCUUUGUCCAAUGACGAAUUGUUGAAGAUAAUACAGGGAGCCAAUGGCAUGCCGGUGCUCUUCAUCCCCUCUGGCAACGGUCGGCUUGCGGCUGUAGCUGUCGACGGCCUUCAGAAUCUGGUGCCCACCAAUCCCACAGGCGAUCAAUCUGCUAAAAAAGAGAGGCUCCAAGACUUUCGUGCCUGGCUACUUUUCCUCACUUCACUGGUUGCCACCAUGUCCUACACCGCGGGGCUUACUCCACCCGGUGGUUUCUGGAGCGCCGAUGACAAAGAAAAGGGAUACAGCGCUGGUGCGUCGGUUAUGCGUGACAAGUUCCCCCCGAGGUACCUGGCUUUUUGCUACAGCAACGCCAUCGCCUUCUUCUCGUCGUUGAUCAUCAUUGUCAUGCUAGCAGGAAACAUAAAUAAAGAGUUCGUCAGAUUUUACAAUCAAAUUUUCAAGAUGCUUGUAGCACUUUGUCUCAUGAGCGUGGUGGCCAGCUUCGUCUCCGGCACGUGGGAAAGCAUGCUUCAAGCUUACAUGUAUGUGCUGCUUCUAGCUAUCAUUUUCGUCAUGCUGGUCGCCUUGUGUGUGCGCGAACGGCACAAGCAUCAGCAAGAUGAUUGA
rnacentral:rRNA from 1 species